UCCUGCGUAGCUCAAUGGCAGAGCAUGUGGCUGUUAACCACAGGGUUGGGGGUUCGAGCCCCUCCGCAGGAGCCA
rnacentral:tRNA from 2 species